UUCAGAUGGGUGUGCUGUAAAGGUGUGUUUCAGCUGGGUGUGCUGUAAAGGUGUGUUUCAGCUGGGUGUGCUGUAAAGGUGUGUUUCAGAUGGGUGUGCUGUAAAGGUGUGUUUCAGAUGGGUGUGCUGUAAAGGUGUGUUUCAGCUGGGUGUGCUGUAAAUGUGUGUUUCAGAUGGGUGUGCUGUAAAGGUGUGUUUCAGAUGGGUGUGCUGUAAAGGUGUGUUUCAGAUGGGUGUGCUGUAAAGGUGUGUUUCAGAUGAGUGUGCUGUAAAGGUGUGUUUCAGAUGGGUGUGCUGUAAAGGUGUGUUUCAGAUGGGUGUGCUGUAAAGGUGUGUUUCAGAUGGGUGUGCUGUAAAGGUGUGUUUCAGAUGGGUGUGCUGUAAAGGUGUGUUUCAGAUGGGUGUGCUGUAAAGGUGUGUUUCGGAUGGGUGUGCUGUAAAGGUGUGUUUCGGAUGGGUGUGCUGUAUGGUUCUGUUUCAGAUGGGUGUGCUGUAUGGUUCUGUUUCAGAUGGGUGUGCUGUAUGGUUCUGUUUCAGAUGGGUGUGCUGUAAAGGUGUGUUUCAGCUGGGUGUGCUGUAUGGUUCUGUUUCAGCUGGGUGUGCUGUAAAGGUGUGUUUCAGAUGGGUGUGCUGUAAAGGUGUGUUUCAGAUGGGUGUGCUGUACAGUUGUGUUUCAGAUGGGGGUGCUGUAAAGGUGUGUUUCAGAUGGGUGUGCUGUAUGGUUGUGUUUCAGAUGGGUGUGCUGUAAAGGUGUGUUUCAGCUGGGUGUGCUGUACAGUUGUGUUUCAGAUGGGUGUGCUGUACGGUUCUGUUUCAGCUGGGUGUGCUGUACAGUUGUGUUUCAGAUGGGUGUGCUGUAUGGUUGUGUUUCAGAUGGGUGUGCUGUAUGGUUCUGUUUCAGCUGGGUGUGCUGUAAAGGUGUGUUUCAGAUGAGUGUGCUGUAAAGGUGUGUUUCAGAUGGGUGUGCUGUAAAGGUGUGUUUCAGAUGGGUGUGCUGUAAAGGUGUGUUUCAGAUGGGUGUGCUGUAUGGUUCUGUUUCAGCUGGGUGUGCUGUACAGUUGUGUUUCAGAUGGGUGUGCUGUAUGGUUGUGUUUCAGAUGGGUGUGCUGUAUGGUUCUGGUUCAGCUGGGUUUGCUGUAAAGGUGUGUUUCAGAUGAGUGUGCUGUAAAGGUGUGUUUCAGAUGGGUGUGCUGUAUGGUUCUGUUUCAGCUGGGUGUGCUGUAAAGGUGUGUUUCAGAUGGGUGUGCUGUAAAGGUGUGUUUCAGAUGGGUGUGCUGUCUGGUUCUGUUUCAGCUGGGUGUGCUGUACAGUUGUGUUUCAGAUGGGUGUGCUGUAUGGUUGUGUUUCAGAUGGGUGUGCUGUAUGGUUCUGGUUCAGCUGGGUGUGCUGUAAAGGUGUGUUUCAGAUGAGUGUGCUGUAAAGGUGUGUUUCAGAUGGGUGUGCUGUAAAGGUGUGUUUCAGAUGGGUGUGCUGUAAAGGUGUUGUAGGAUAUGUAGUGUUUAGAUUUUGGCCUUAGAGAGGGAAACAGUGAAUAAGAAUGUGGCCUGGCCUCCCCAUCACAAGCAUAAAAGCAAAUGUGAUUGGGGCAAUUUUAAAUUCUACUGAUACCCUAAUCUAGGCUGACAAUCUAUGGGUCUCACCUCCUCAGAAGAGACAAACCAUAUGACACAGGAUACCAUAUCGGGGGUCGGAGACCCAGCAUGCCUAACAUUUCCCAUUACUUAAGUUUGAAUGCAAUCUUUAGGUAGGCCAGUCCUUUUUAUGAGUUAGUCUGACCCCCCUUCCCUUAUCCCCAAAACCUUAACUUGGCAUCACCCAAUCAGGGCAAACGUCCCCAAGCCAUGCUGGGUAAGGUAUUUAAGAUGGCCACAGGAAAAAGGUUGUGUUGCGUUUGGUUUCAAGAAGAAGAGUUUUUCUCUUUUUAUUUUGGUGGUGGUUCCUUGGUUGCUUGUGUAUUUAGCUGGUUUCCUUUCAUCCUGUGGCGCUUAUACUGGAAGUGGGCGAUACUCUGGCAAGGCCUGGCUUAUCCGUCUCUCUCUCUUUUCUGGUAUUUCUAGAUUAAUUGUUUAGUGUUUUGUAUUAUGUCUUCUGUUGUGUAAUUUAUAAGUAGUGUGCCUGCAUUCAAUAAAGAAUGUUUUAUUUCAAUUCAUUAAUUUAAUUUAUUGCUUCAUGUUGAAUUCAAUUAUUUAAACCUUGAAACCUUAUAUACAGCUUGUUUUGACUUGGUUGGUUGAUUCCACCAGUGCGCUGUAGACUGACCUAACAACAGAUUCGUCAAUUCACUGAUAAUUAUAAUUUUCAAUAAUAAUUACUAAAUUAAAUCACUUAAAAUAUAUUUUACAUGUUGGGUAAGUGAGGCGUUUUAACGGCUGAUGCACUUGUGUACAGUGCCGGACAUCAAAGGAGGGUGUUAACGGUUAAAACUGCUGGAUUCGGAAAAUUAAACAUAUUUAAAUCAAUCCUCACCUUGUUGACAGUGCGUUUCAGAUGGGUGUGUUGUGAAGGUGUGUUUCCCAUGCAUGUGUUUUUUAUGUAAUGGCCAUGUGACCCACAGGAGUCACAGUAGUUUUUACCCAGCAGUUGAGACCUCAGAGGUGAGACCUGCUCUUCUGCUGAAAGGUUUGGUGGGAGAGGGGGGCUUUCCAUCCUCUUUCUAUUUUUAACAAAUUGUAUUUAGUUUUUUUUAAGUGCAAUAUCUGUGUGUGUGCGUGUGCGUGUGCGUGUGCGUGCGUGUGCGUGUGCGCGUGCGCGUGUGCGUGUGUUCACAGAACUCUAUAAGCAGUGUGUCAUAGUGUCCAUUGCUUUGACCCCUCUGUGACCCCUGUGCAGUUAGCUGGUGUGCCAGAGCAGGAACACAGAACAGCCCUGCUUCUACGAAACUGCCCCGCGAAACUACCCCGCGAACUGCCCCACAAACUGCCCCACAAAACUACCCCGCGGAACUGCCCCACGAACUGCCCCGCAGACUGCCCCGCGGAACUGCCCCACGAACUGCCCUGCAAACUGCCCCGCAAACUAUCCCGCGACCUGCCCCACAAACUACCGUGCGGACUGCCCCGUAAAACUGCCCCGCGAACUGCCCUACGAACUGCCCCGCAGACUGCCCUGCAAACUGCCUCGCAAAACUACCCCGCAAACUGCCCUGCAAACUGCCCUGCUGUUUAUCACAUAUGUGGGCUUUGCGGUGGGAGAGUUCCGGUGAACUCUCUGAUGAUGUAACAUGUACAGUAUGUUGUAAUUUAAAUCAGUUGGGCGACGCCUAAAAAGUGUCCUGAUGGUGAUGUGGUUUUUUUUGUUUGUUUUGUUUUGUUUGUUGUCGUAUGAUGCAUCAGCACUGUUGGUGAGCACGAACGCUUUCCGAUCUUGUACCCACUGCUGUGCUGGGUAAAUUAUAAUAUUUAAUAAUCUUCUAAAGAUGUGUUCACUCCAGAUGUCUGACCGAGAAUCUCCUAGUAGGAGUUCUUGAUACUUUUAAUAAAGACUUAAAUAUGAAUAUUAA